rnacentral:lncRNA from 1 species
GUCUCCAGAUAGCCAGUAUUUAACCAUAAUUCUGCUCAGUGAAUAGUUGCCAUCACUAAAAGGAAUUUUGCCAUUUUGAUUGCAGAAUUGCUUGUUCUUGCUCUAGUUAGGUAGAAUUGCUUGCUCUGGCUGUAGUAUGGUUAUCAUAUCAUGCAAAUCUGAUUGCAGUACCAUCAAAUUUUGUCGCUGUAAGCGCUGCAGUCAUGGAUUGCAUUUCUCAGCUUCUAUUGCUGGGUUGUUUCUUGAUUAUUAUUAUGACUAAGUAAUCUAUGAAUAUCAGUAUUGCAUGCCUGCCCUUAAGUCAUUCGGGGUCUGUCCUUGAUUCUUAUUGGACAUAAAUUAUUGGUACUAUAAUUGAUUUAUCUUAUGACUAGGUAGUCUGAAUAUCUGGAUUGCACGCGUGUUUUUAAGUCAUUCUGGGUCUGUCCUCAAGUCAUACUGGGUAUAAAUUAUUGGUACUAUAAUUGAUUUAUCUUAACAGUAUGUAGUACAAUUCUUUUUUAUUCGGAAAGAUUGUUGGGGUUGUGGGUCGUUGGUUGUUGGUGCUAGUGCAAAAUUGUUUUUGCAGUGUGCUGUUGCAUCCUUUAGCAAGUUUACUAUUUUUUAGGGAGCGCAAUGGUUCAGUGUGCAAGUUUGUUAUCUUAGCCAGCUUAUAUGUGCAAAAAUGUUUCAUACAAGUGGCUGCUCGUGACUGUUCAUGUAGGCUGUUGAAUUGCUCUGUAUGGGCAUCAUUGAUAACUGCUGCUGUUCUCAUGAAGUAAACCUACAUAUAUGUGGCAUAUUGAUUCUUGUUAAGUUUUUGGGGGAACUGAAUUGAGUUUUGUGUUUAUGAAGUCUGGCCAAACUUGGCAUUGGUGUCUUUUGUGAGCACUUAAAAGUGUCAGUGGAGUUUAGAUCGGGCAUGAAUGAAGUUUAAAUCAUGCUGAUGAGAGAUGUUCUUGGUGCCUUUUUUGUGAAAUCUUGAAUCCUUUUUGGAAAUUUUAGUACAUGUCUGUAAUUUUGGUGCUUUUUUGUGAAAUCCUUUAUCCUUUUUGGAAAUUUUAGUACAUGCCUGUAAUUUUUUUGGCACGAUUGGUUAGCAAUCAGUAGUGAAACUGGGCAUUGUCUGGUGUAUUUGUCACCAUUUGGUGUGCCAUUUAUGAGUUAGGCUUAGAGCCCUGCCAUUGCCAAGCCCUGCCGUCCCCAUACAAAAAGUUGUUUUGUUUGUUUGGUAUACAUGAGUUCACAUCAUGCU